rnacentral:rRNA from 1 species
CUCUGUGACUCCUACGGGAGGCAGCAGUGGGGAAUAUUGCACAAUGGGCGCAAGCCUGAUGCAGCCAUGCCGCGUGUGUGAAGAAGGCCUUCGGGUUGUAAAGCACUUUCAGUUGUGAGGAAGGUGGUGUCGUUAAUAGCGGCAUCAUUUGACGUUAGCAACAGAAGAAGCACCGGCUAACUCCGUGCCAGCAGCCGCGGUAAUACGGAGGGUGCGAGCGUUAAUCGGAAUUACUGGGCGUAAAGCGCAUGCAGGUGGUUUGUUAAGUCAGAUGUGAAAGCCCCGGGGCUCAACCUCGGAACUGCAUUUGAAACUGGCAGACUAGAGUACUGUAGAGGGGGUAGAAUUUCAGGUGUAGCGGUGAAAUGCGUAGAGAUCUGAAGGAAUACCGGUGGCGAAGGCGGCCCCCUGGACAGAUACUGACACUCAGAUGCGAAAGCGUGGGGAGCAAACAGGAUUAGAUACCCUGGUAG